rnacentral:rRNA from 1 species
GACGAACGCUGGCGGCGUGCCUAAUACAUGCAAGUAGGACGCACAGUCUAUACCGUAGCUUGCUACACCAUAGGCUGUGAGUUGCGAACGGGUGAGUAACGCGUAGGUAACCUGCCUAUUAGAGGGGGAUAACUAUUGGAAACGAUAGCUAAUACCGCAUAACAGUAUGUAACACAUGUUAGAUGCUUGAAAGAUGCAAUUGCAUCGCUAGUAGAUGGACCUGCGUUGUAUUAGCUAGUAGGUAGGGUAAUGGCCUACCUAGGCGACGAUACAUAGCCGACCUGAGAGGGCGAUCGGCCACACUGGGACUGAGACACGGCCCAGACUCCUACGGGAGGCAGCAGUAGGGAAUCUUCGGCAAUGGGGGGAACCCUGACCGAGCAACGCCGCGUGAGUGAAGAAGGUUUUCGGAUCGUAAAGCUCUGUUGUUAAGGAAGAACGAGUGUGAGAAUGGAAAGUUCAUACUGUGACGGUACUUAACCAGAAAGGGACGGCUAACUACGUG